rnacentral:rRNA from 1 species
UACAGAGGGGGCAAGCGUUGUUCGGAAUUACUGGGCGUAAAGCGUGCGCAGGCGGUCUGUUAAGACCGAUGUGAAAUCCCCGGGCUUAACCUGGGAACUGCAUUGGUGACUGGCAGGCUAGAGUGUGUCAGAGGGAGGUGGAAUUCCGCGUGUAGCAGUGAAAUGCGUAGAGAUGCGGAGGAACACCGAUGGCGAAGGCAGCCUCCUGGGAUAACACUGACGCUCAUGCACGAAAGCGUGGGGAGCAAACAGG